AGUGAACGCUGGCGGUAGGCCUAACACAUGCAAGUCGAACGGCAGCACAGAGGAGCUUGCUCCUUGGGUGGCGAGUGGCGGACGGGUGAGGAAUACAUCGGAAUCUACUCUGUCGUGGGGGAUAACGUAGGGAAACUUACGCUAAUACCGCAUACGACCUACGGGUGAAAGCAGGGGAUCUUCGGACCUUGCGCGAUUGAAUGAGCCGAUGUCGGAUUAGCUAGUUGGCGGGGUAAAGGCCCACCAAGGCGACGAUCCGUAGGUGGUCUGGGAGGAUAGUCAGCCACACUGGAACUGAGACACGGGCCAGACUCCUACGGGAGGCAGCAGUGGGGAAUAUUGGACAAUGGGCGCAAGCCUGAUCCAGCCAUACCGAGUGGGUGAAGAAGGCCUUCGGGUUGUAAAGCCCUUUUGUUGGGAAAGAAAUCCAUAUGGUUAAUACCCGGGUGGGAUGACGGUACCCAAAGAAUAAGCACCGGCUAACUUCGUGCCAGCAGCCGCCGUAA
rnacentral:rRNA from 1 species